rnacentral:lncRNA from 1 species
AUGGUAUAUGUAUGUAAGUUGAUUCAAUGAUUCAAGCGUCAUCUCUAGGUGAGAUUUAAGUUAAGUUCUGGAAUGAANAUAGGUAGCUCAGUCUUGGGGGUUUCCCUUAAAGCUCUAAUGACUAUUCAAUCUCACUUAGAGAAGAUUAGUACAUGUGGUGAAGAGCAGUAGGGGGUCCUAGUCUUGGUUGUCUCCAUUUUAUAUGGGCCAAGGUGAGUGAUAACGGACUAACCUUGUGUGUGGUAGGGUGAAACCCAUUGGCAAUGGC